UCGGGACAGGGAUGGGGACGGGGAUGGGGAUCGGGACAGGGAUGGGGACCGGGACGGGGACAGCCCCGUGUCCCACCGGCACUGCCUCGUUACCCCCAGCUUCGGCUCCAAGGAACACAUCCAGACGGCUCCGGAACUCUCGCAGAGGAGCCACCUCAAACAUUGUGAAAACAGGAGAUAUACUGCAAUGCUCAGAAAUUGGUAAGGUUUAAUCAAUGGGAAAUCCAACAUUCAAACACUUGGAAUACGGAGGAACAACAGAAACGUAGCAAAAAAUGGUCUGGAAUGUUGGAAUCCUCCACCUCAAGCUUUCCACGCAUAAAGAAAACAGAACAAG